rnacentral:misc_RNA from 1 species
GAAUGAAGAACGCAGCGAAAUGCGAUAAGUAAUGUGAAUUGCAGAAUUCAGUGAAUCAUCGAAUCUUUGAACGCACAUUGCGCCCCCUGGUAUUCCGGGGGGCAUGCCUGUUCGAGCGUCAUUUCACCACUCAAGCCUCGCUUGGUAUUGGGCAACGCGGUCCGCCGCGUGCCUCAAAUCGACCGGCUGGGUCUUCUGUCCCCUAAGCGUUGUGGAAACUAUUCGCUAAAGGGUGUUCGGGAGGCUACGCCGUAAAACAACCCCAUUUCUAAGGUUGACCUCGGAUCAGGUAGGGAUACCCGCUGAACUUAAGCAUAUCAAUAAGCGGAGGA